GAUAGAGAGUUUAAUCCAAGCUUCGAUGCCGGAAAACCCUAGAUAUGGAAUCGAUCCCCCUUCCCUCUCUUCGCUUCCAUAACUCUUCUCUGCUACCUCUCCGUCGCCAACCACGGCUUUAUCCUCCGGCGUCCUCCGUCUCCGGCGCCAUUCGAGCUUCUGCUCCAUUGACCCCGUCUACAUGCCUACCCCUCCCGAUCGCCCUCUCCGGCGCCAUUCGAUGUUAUGAACCAGUUUGUUUGGGGCUUCGGCGUGCCGGAGGACGAGGUGGAGUUCAAUGAUGUCUAUGACCUGUAUGAUGAGCUUCUAGACAUGCUUCCCAAGCCUUUGCUCGCCAUGCUCUUUCUCUUUCCUUACAAUGUUAAGGCCAAAGAGGAGAUCCGGAGUUCACGUGGGCGGGAGCUCCGCUUUAUAUAGAUGAUUUGGAAAACAUACUAGAUGAGAACAUGGUGCUUUCCUUCAAUGUUGAAAUCGAGGAUGGCAGCGUAGAAGAGAUUGCUGAGUAAUUGAUGAUUAUGCAUGAAGACUGUCUGCAGGGAAAUUUUGAAUCAAUUUAUCAAUUAAAGAACUCUGCUUCCACGAGAAAUGCUGCCUCUCAAAGUAGACAGGUGGUUAAUGAAAAUGAGGGUGAGAAUUUAGAUGAAGAGGUGGAUGAAGAUGGAUCAGAAAUGAUUGUUGAUGAACCAGAACCAAAGGAAGUUGCCGUGAAUGAGCCAAAACAACCAAAACAAACACCUAAUGAAAAGGGUUGGUUUGUUGUUCCUACCAAGCGUAAUUGUGGUAAGAGAUGGACAUAAUUCAUAUCCGGCAAACUUAUAGUGCCGGUGAAGUGCUAAUAUAAAUAUUUCUUACUUAUGAUUUUUGCAAAGCAUUUCUUUACUUGAUCUACACUAUUGUAUCCAUCCCUUGGCUGCUUUGUUUGAAAGGUUAAUUUCCUUUUCUCAUUUUGGUUGAGCAUGUUUCUUCUUAAUUUAUACUGUUUGUAGUCAUCCUUAUUCUUUUUGCAUCCUAGCUUGGAAUGGCUCUACUUCUACUUGUGGUUAAUGUUAUUAACAUUAAAAGGUAGUUCAAGGGUUGUAAAUUGUUUUAGUAAACUUCAUCUCCUUGGAACAAUAGUGUUUUCUGAAAUUUCUUGUUUAUUUAUUUGUACAAAGUUUACCAUUCAUCUAAUUAUCUAAUUGUUUUUGAAUUUGUCCCUUGGACUGGUACUUUGAGCUGGGAGAUAGCUCCAUGGGGUUACUAGAAAUUGUCUGCUUUGAAUGAGAAACACAUGGUGAUUGUCUUUUUGACCUUUCUGAGUUUUAAACACAGCAUAUUGUAACAGGCAAGAGUUGUGUCUAUGAAAUCAUAAAAGCUAAAGAUCUAUGCUUAUAUUGACACUUGUAGAUCUACGUCUGUGUUUUAAUUGUCACAUGCAAGUCAUUGCUGUUUGUUGUUGCUUGUCAUUACCUGGAUGGCUGAAUAUCAUAUAAGCUGUUUUUUUUUAUUAAAAGAACAUCGUCUACACCUUGAUCAAACUGGUGGAGCUCACUGACUUGACUUACUGCCUUUGUUUCUUCAAGCAAGUGGAAAUAGAGGCCACUACAAAAGAAUCGAGUUCUCCAUUGCGAGCUCUAACAGCAGAAGCAUGUUUUGUAACAGAAUGCAAAGAUACUUGCAGUGCUAAUCUCAGGUUGCAGUUGUGGGAAAUAUGAUAUGAAGGCAGCAAGGGUAAGGUAUAUAUAUAUAUAUAUAUUUGAAACUAAACAUGUUUUUUUGCUAUUAUGACAGAAUUGACUGCGAGAAGAGUGAUGAAUGCAUGGCGAAUUGCAGGGAUAAUUCAUGCAUUACAAGUGUGGAAUGAACAAGAAUGUGGGGACACAUGCUCAACAUUGACAAAGCAGACAAUGAAGAUUAUGAGUAAGCAGGAAUUUUUAGAGAAAGCAUACGAAGAGCAGAAGUAGCAAAACCACUACAUCUUUUUCCUCUUAGAAUCUCGAGUUCUUUGUCGGAGGCAACUGGAAGUGUGUUAGAGUCUCCGAGUCUCCUUCUGAAGACAAUCCUCUGCUUUGUCUUAUUGUAAGAGUCCAUGUUGCUUCAAUAACUGUGUGAGGAUAACAGACAGACCAAGCCAUUAUUA